ACAUUACCAUAGUACAAAAUAAAGCCAUUAGGACUGAAGAGAUGAAUGAGACCAUUCAAAUACCAUUAGCUGAGGCUGGUGAAAGCACAUUAACUCAGACCUCAGUUCAAGAAAUAGAUGGUAUUAGGAAUCAGGAGAUGAACUUAGAGAACGCCUUAGUUCCUAUUGCUCAAAAUACACUAAGCUCUUCCGUCAUUAACAAUAUGGCUAUUGGUCCACCUUCACAAGCUUUUGAAGCCGUGAC